GAUGAACGCUAGCUACAGGCUUAACACAUGCAAGUCGAGGGGCAGCAUGGUCUUAGCUUGCUAAGGCCGAUGGCGACCGGCGCACGGGUGAGUAACACGUAUCCAACCUGCCGUCUACUCUUGGACAGCCUUCUGAAAGGAAGAUUAAUACAAGAUGGCAUCAUGAGUCCGCAUGUUCACAUGAUUAAAGGUAUUCCGGUAGACGAUGGGGAUGCGUUCCAUUAGAUAGUAGGCGGGGUAACGGCCCACCUAGUCUUCGAUGGAUAGGGGUUCUGAGAGGAAGGUCCCCCACAUUGGAACUGAGACACGGUCCAAACUCCUACGGGAGGCAGCAGUGAGGAAUAUUGGUCAAUGGGCGAGAGCCUGAACCAGCCAAGUAGCGUGAAGGAUGACUGCCCUAUGGGUUGUAAACUUCUUUUAUAAAGGAAUAAAGUCGGGUAUGCAUACCCGUUUGCAUGUACUUUAUGAAUAAGGAUCGGCUAACUCCGUGCCAGCAGCCGCGGUAAUACGGAGGAUCCGAGCGUUAUCCGGAUUUAUUGGGUUUAAAGGGAGCGUAGAUGGAUGUUUAAGUCAGUUGUGAAAGUUUGCGGCUCAACCGUAAAAUUGCAGUUGAUACUGGAUAUCUUGAGUGCAGUUGAGGCAGGCGGAAUUCGUGGUGUAGCGGUGAAAUGCUUAGAUAUCACGAAGAACUCCGAUUGCGAAGGCAGCCUGCUAAGCUGCAACUGACAUUGAGGCUCGAAAGUGUGGGUAUCAAACAGGAUUAGAUACCCUGGUAGUCCACACGGUAAACGAUGAAUACUCGCUGUUUGCGAUAUACAGCAAGCGGCCAAGCGAAAGCGUUAAGUAUUCCACCUGGGGAGUACGCCGGCAACGGUGAAACUCAAAGGAAUUGACGGGGGCCCGCACAAGCGGAGGAACAUGUGGUUUAAUUCGAUGAUACGCGAGGAACCUUACCCGGGCUUAAAUUGCAGAUGAAUUACGGUGAAAGCCGUAAGCCGCAAGGCAUCUGUGAAGGUGCUGCAUGGUUGUCGUCAGCUCGUGCCGUGAGGUGUCGGCUUAAGUGCCAUAACGAGCGCAACCCUUGUUGUCAGUUACUAACAGGUUCCGCUGAGGACUCUGACAAGACUGCCAUCGUAAGAUGUGAGGAAGGUGGGGAUGACGUCAAAUCAGCACGGCCCUUACGUCCGGGGCUACACACGUGUUACAAUGGGGGGUACAGAGGGCCGCUACCACGCGAGUGGAUGCCAAUCCCCAAAACCUCUCUCAGUUCGGACUGGAGUCUGCAACCCGACUCCACGAAGCUGGAUUCGCUAGUAAUCGCGCAUCAGCCACGGCGCGGUGAAUACGUUCCCGGGCCUUGUACACACCGCCCGUCAAGCCAUGGGAGCCGGGGGUACCUGAAGUGCGUAACCGCGAGGAGCGCCCUAGGGUAAAACUGGUG
rnacentral:rRNA from 1 species